AGAAUCAACGCUGGCGGCGUGCCUAACACAUGCAAGUCGAACGAGAAAGUGGAGCAAUCCAUGAGUACAGUGGCGCACGGGUGAGUAACACGUGACUAACCUACCCUUGAGUGGGGAAUAACCUGGAGAAAUCUAGGCUAAUACCGCAUAACACCUACGGGUCAAAGGAGCAAUUCGCUUAAGGAGGGGGUCGCGGCAGAUUAGCUAGUUGGCGGGGUAAUGGCCCACCAAGGCAGUGAUCUGUAUCCGGCCUGAGAGGGCGCACGGACACACUGGAACUGAAACACGGUCCAGACUCCUACGGGAGGCAGCAGUGGGGAAUUUUGCGCAAUGGGGGAAACCCUGACGCAGCAACGCCGCGUGGAGGAUGAAGUCCCUUGGGACGUAAACUCCUUUCGACCGGGAAGAUAAUGACGGUACCGGAAGAAGAAGCCCGGCUAACUUCGUGCCAGCAGCCGC
rnacentral:rRNA from 1 species